rnacentral:rRNA from 1 species
CCCUACGGGGGGCAGCAGCAAGGAAUUUUGUGCAAUGGGCGAAAGCCUGACACAGCGACGCCGCGUGAGGGAUGAAGGCCUUCGGGUUGUAAACCUCUUUUCUCAGGGAAGAAAACUGACGGUACCUGAGGAAUAAGCUUCGGCUAACUACGUGCCAGCAGCCGCGGUAAUACGUAGGAAGCAAGCGUUAUCCGGAUUUAUUGGGCGUAAAGAGGGUGUAGGCGGUUUUGUAAGUCGGAUGUCAAAUCUCCCGGCUCAACUGGGAGAGAUCAUUCGAUACUGCGAGACUAGAGGACAGCAGAGGGAAACGGAAUUCCCGGUGUAGUGGUGAAAUGCGUAGAUAUCGGGAGGAACACCAGUGGCGAAAGCGGUUUCCUGGGCUGUAACUGACGCUGAGACCCGAAAGCGUGGGGAGCGAACAGGAUUAGAUACCCCGGU